CAAGACCAAAGAGGGGGACCUUCGGGCCUCUUGCCAUCAGAUGUGCCCAGAUGGGAUUAGCUAGUAGUGGGGUAACGGUCACUAGGCGACGAUCCCUAGCUGGUCUGAGAGGAUGACCAGCCACACUGGAACUGAGACACGGUCCGGACUCCUACGGGAGGCAGCAGUGGGGAAUAUUGCACAAUGGGCGCAAGCCUGAUGCAGCCAUGCCGCGUGUAUGAAGAAGGCCUUCGGGUUGUAAAGUACUUUCAGCGGGGAGGAAGGUGUGUGGUUAAUAACCAAGAAUUGACGUUAACCGAGAAGAAGCAACCGGUUAAUUCCGGUGCCAGGGCCGCGGUAAUAAGGGAGGGUGUAAGGUAAUCGGAAAUUACUGGGGCGUUAACAGCGCACACGCAAGGCCGGGACCUGGGCCAAGCGACCGGANUCGGGNAAAAUCCCCCAGGGGGAUCCAACCUGGGGAACAACCGGCAUCACAAACUAUGGGCAANGGGCAACACAAAGCACACGGGCAAACGGGGGGUAAGAAACAACAAGCAGGUGAGACAGAAGCGNCACACACCGGCGUGAAGAAAGACACCGAGCAAACGAAAUCACAACCCC
rnacentral:rRNA from 1 species